rnacentral:rRNA from 1 species
UGGGGAAUAUUGGACAAUGGGCGGAAGCCUGAUCCAGCAACGCCGCGUGAGGGAUGACGGCCUUCGGGUUGUAAACCUCUUUCAGCACAGACGAAGCGCAAGUGACGGUAUGUGCAGAAGAAGGACCGGCCAACUACGUGCCAGCAGCCGCGGUAAUACGUAGGGUCCGAGCGUUGUCCGGAAUUAUUGGGCGUAAAGGGCUCGUAGGCGGUUUGUCGCGUCGGGAGUGAAAACACCGGGCUUAACUCGGUGCUUGCUUUCGAUACGGGCAGACUAGAGGUAUUCAGGGGAGAACGGAAUUCCUGGUGUAGCGGUGAAAUGCGCAGAUAUCAGGAGGAACACCGGUGGCGAAGGCGGUUCUCUGGGAAUAUCCUGACGCUGAGGAGCGAAAGUGUGGGGAGCGAACAGGAUUAGAUACCCUGGUAGUCCACACCGUAAACGUUGGGCGCUAGGUGUGGGGUCCAUUCCACGGAUUCCGUGCCGCAGCUAACGCAUUAAGCGCCCCCGCCUGGGGGAGUACGGCCCGCAAGGCUAAAACUCAAAUGAAUUGNCGGGGUCAUAGCUGUUU